rnacentral:rRNA from 1 species
GCACGAAGGUUUCGGCCUUAGUGGCGGACGGGUGAGUAACGCGUAGGUAUCUAUCCAUGGGUGGGGGAUAACACUGGGAAACUGGUGCUAAUACCGCAUGACACCUGAGGGUCAAAGGCGUAAGUCGCCUGUGGAGGAGCCUGCGUUUGAUUAGCUAGUUGGUGGGGUAAAGGCCUACCAAGGCGAUGAUCAAUAGCUGGUUUGAGAGGAUGAUCAGCCACACUGGGACUGAGACACGGCCCAGACUCCUACGGGAGGCAGCAGUGGGGAAUAUUGGACAAUGGGGGCAACCCUGAUCCAGCAAUGCCGCGUGUGUGAAGAAGGUCUUCGGAUUGUAAAGCACUUUCGACGGGGACGAUGAUGACGGUACCCGUAGAAGAAGCCCCGGCUAACUUCGUGCCAGCAGCCGCGGUAAUACGAAGGGGGCUAGCGUUGCUCGGAAUGACUGGGCGUAAAGGGCGUGUAGGCGGUUUGUACAGUCAGAUGUGAAAUCCCCGGGCUUAACCUGGGAGCUGCAUUUGAUACGUGCAGACUAGAGUGUGAGAGAGGGUUGUGGAAUUCCCAGUGUAGAGGUGAAAUUCGUAGAUAUUGGGAAGAACACCGGUGGCGAAGGCGGCAACCUGGCUCAUUACUGACGCUGAGGCGCGAAAGCGUGGGGAGCAAACAGGAUUAGAUACCCUGGUAGUCCACGCUGUAAACGAUGUGUGCUAGAUGUUGGGUGACUUAGUCAUUCAGUGUCGCAGUUAACGCGUUAAGCACACCGCCUGGGGAGUACGGCCGCAAGGUUGAAACUCAAAGG